UGAACUUUAACUCCUAUAAUUAUUUUAAUAAUUAUUUGUUUCCCAUCUUUAAAAAUUUUAUAUUAUAUUGAUGAAAUUAUAAAUCCUUAUUUUUCAAUUAAUCGAAAUUGAUUUAUUGAUUCGUAGUUUAAUAUAUAUGAAUCAAAUUCAUAAUUAUUAAAUUCUGGAUAUUCAUAAGAUCAAUAUCAUUGAUGACCAAUAGACUUAAUUGAAAAAUAAGGAUUUAUAAUUUCAUCAAUAUAAUAUAAAAUUUUUAAAGAUGGGAAACAAAUAAUUAUUAAAAUAAUUAUAGGAGUUAAAGUUCAAAUAAUUUCAAUAGUAUAUUUUUAUUUCAAGAUUCAAAUUCUUUUUAUUCUGAUAAUCUUAUUUCAUUUCAUAAUUUAACAAUAAUAAUAAUAAUAAUAAUUAUUUCCUUAACUAUAUUUUUCAUUAUAGAUUUUUCAAUAAAUAAUUUUUUAAAUUUAAAUCUUUUAAAAAAUCAUACUAUUGAAAUUAUUUGAACUUUAACUCCUAUAAUUAUUUUAAUAAUUAUUUGUUUCCCAUCUUUAAAAAUUUUAUAUUAUAUUGAUGAAAUUAUAAAUCCUUAUUUUUCAAUUAAAUCUAUUGGUCAUCAAUGAUAUUGAUCUUAUGAAUAUCCAGAAUUUAAUAAUUAUGAAUUUGAUUCAUAUAUAUUAAAUUGUGCAUCAAUAAAUCAAUUUCGACUUUUAGAAACUGAUAAUCGAUUAAUUAUUCCAUUUAAAAUUUCAAUACGUAUAAUUGUAUCUUCUACAAAUGUAAUUCACUCAUGAACAAUCCCUUCAUUAGGAAUUAAAGUUGAUGCAAUUCCUGAUAGAAUUAAUCAACUAAACAUAUUUUAAUCAACUAAACCAACAACCUCAACCACCUUACCACAUACGAACCCACACACUGGCCCACCGACACAAACAAAAUACCCGAUCUCCUUGAUUUCCUCAUAACUAAAAAUAUCUCGUCAAGACACGUCCAAAUCAAUUCCUCGGCUGAUCUCUCCUCUGAUCAUUCCCCCGUGAUA
rnacentral:misc_RNA from 1 species